rnacentral:rRNA from 1 species
CCUACGGGAGGCAGCAGUGGGGAAUAUUGCUCAAUGGGGGCAACCCUGAAGCAGCGACGCCGCGUGAAGGAUGAAGGACUUAGGUGUGUAAAGCUCUGUUUGUAGAGAAGAAAAUGACGGUACCUGACCAAUAAGCUCCGGCUAACUUCGUGCCAGCAGCCGCGGUAAUACGGAGGGAGCAAGCGUUAUCCGGAUUUACUGGGCGUAAAGGGAGCGUAGGCGGGUGUGUAAGACAGUUGUGAAAGCCUGCGGCUCAACCACAGAACUGCAUUUGAAACUGUCAGUCUUGAGUGCCGGUGGGGUAGGUGGAAUUCGUGGUGUAGCGGUGAAAUGCGUAGAUAUCACGAAGAACACCGAUUGCGAAGGCAGCCUACUGGACGGUUACUGACACUGAUGCUCGAAAGCGUGGGGAGCAAACAGGAUUAGAUACCCUAGUAGUC